UUGGAGGGCAAGUCUGGUGCCAGCAGCCGCGGUAAUUCCAGCUCCAAUAGCGUAUAUUAAAGUUGUUGCAGUUAAAAAGCUCGUAGUUGAAUUUCGGGAUCAGACUGUCGGUCGUGCCUCGGUACGCACUGGCAUUAUUGGUUCCUACCUUCUGAAGAACCGCGAUGUCAUUAAUUUGGUGUCGUGGGGAAUCAGGACUGUUACUUUGAAAAAAUUAGAGUGUUUAAAGCAGGCUCGCGCUUGAAUACAUUAGCAUGGAAUAA
rnacentral:rRNA from 1 species